CCUACGGGAGGCAGCAGUGGGGAAUAUUGCGCAAUGGGCGAAAGCCUGACGCAGCGACGCCGCGUGAGGGAUGAAGGUCUUCGGAUCGUAAACCUCUGUCAGCAGGGAAGAACGGUCACUGUGCUAAUCAGCAGUGAAUUGACGGUACCUGCAAAGGAAGCACCGGCUAACUCCGGGCCAGCAGCCGCGGUAAUACGGAGGGUGCGAGCGUUAAUCGGGAUUACUGGGAGUAAAGCGCUCGUAGGCGGUAUGUUAAGUCAAGGGUGAAAUCCCCGGGCCCAACGCGGGAACUGCCUUUGAAACUGGCAAACUUGAGUUUGUGAGAGGUAAGCGGAAUUCGAGGUGUAGCAGUGAAAUCCGUAGAUAUC
rnacentral:rRNA from 1 species